GGAGUUCGAACUGUGCAGGGGAAACAGUUGAUUUUUCAACAUGUAUUGAGUCGACGUGUUACAAACAAUGUUCAAAUUAAAAAUAGUCCACGGAUGAUUCAUUUUGACUUCCUUUUUCUUUUAUGUUUUAAAACAGGCAUCGUGAUCCCAUGUUUUAUUGACAAAAGGCAAGUUAAUCACGCUUAAACAUUGAUUAUUAACAUCGUCCUUAUCGUCCUUAAUUGAGAACUGAGAAUUGAUUUUGACUAGAUUGUUGCAUUUGCAUAUGAAUACUUGCACUUGAAUCUAGAGAAGAGGGUUUGGUUUUUCAUCAUUCAAAACACGGUAGCGGCUUUGGGAUAAACCAUGGGAGGUUGAUCACCAACGUUUGAACAUAUGUCUUUGAACUAAAAGGACAUUUGUCACGCGAUGAAGUCUGUUCCUUCACGUUUGAGAUGACGUACCUUGCUGCUUUGAUUAGGACUUUGCUUCUCUAAAGAUAUUUUCUGGCUUGUGUAGCCUAUGCGAAGCAAGCCCGGUCCAUAGCCUUCUUUCUUUAUUCUUUAUCGCCUGGUCUUUCUUUCGUAUGGGACGUGGGAUCUUUCUUUCCGAAAUCCAUUUACCUUGCUAGCCUAAGGCUUAAGAGUUAUCCCUUCUAACAAAAAUGAAACCCGGAAAAGUAGUCAACCAUUGUUGGAACUUGAAAAUCGCCUUGAGCCUUAGGCUCUAACUUGAUGUUAACUGAAUUUUUAGUUUAGAUAUAUAUUAAUUCUUAAGGGCACUUUCAUUGAAAGCUACUGCAAAAUCAAGCUUUUCCAAGAAUUUCAAUCCAGACAAAUUAUGCUAAACAAAUGGAUUUUGGUUUGUUUUGAUGUCAUCUCCAUUUUUUGCUUUCAAUUAUUGAAAGAAUAAUUAUAAACACCCUAUUUGGUUCAUGUUCAAAGUAAUUGGAGCAUGGUUCAAUAAGAUCCAAAUAGUUAAGCCCAAGUAUAUAUUAUUUUAUGUUU
rnacentral:lncRNA from 1 species